UACGUAGGUGGCAAGCGUUAUCCGGAAUUAUUGGGCGUAAAGAGCUCGUAGGCGGUUUGUCGCGUCUGCCGUGAAAGUCCGGGGCUCAACUCCGGAUCUGCGGUGGGUACGGGCAGACUAGAGUGAUGUAGGGGAGACUGGAAUUCCUGGUGUAGCGGUGAAAUGCGCAGAUAUCAGGAGGAACACCGGUGGCGAAGGCGGAUCUCUGGGCCAUUACUGACGCUGAGGAGCGAAAGCGUGGGGAGCGAACAGG
rnacentral:rRNA from 1 species